CUAUCUGGCUUUAAGAAAUACUAAAAGAAAUCAUGAAAAAGUAUUGUGGUAGCCAGUAAGUUACAUUUUUAGAACAAGCACAGGGAAUAAAUUAUGGAAUCACUCAAUUUUGAGGAAAUAAAUAUGGAAUCAUGAAAAACACACAAAAUAAGACUCCAACACAUCACUAGUACUUUGUUGCACCACCUCUGGCCUUUAUAACUGCUUGCAGUCUCUGAGGCAUUGACUUAAUGAGUGACAAACAGCACUCUUCACCAAUCUGACUCCAGAUUUCUCUGAUUGCUGUUGCCAGAUCAGCUUUGCAGGUUGGAGCCUCGUCAUGGACCAUUUUCUUUAACUUCCACCACAGAUUUUAAUGGGAUUGAGAUCCGGACUGUUUGCAGCCCAUGACAUUGACCUUAUGUGUCUUUCUUCAAGGAAUGUUUUCAUAGUUUUUGUUCUAUGGCAAGAUGCAUUAUCAUCUUGAAAAAUGAUGUCAUCAUCCCCAAACAUCCUUUCGAUAGAUGGGAUAAGUGUAAAAAUGUCAAUUUUCCUCCCAUUUGUUCAUCAUUUGUUUUGUUCUACAUUUUCUGUUUUCAAGGCAUAUUGCUUUAAGUUUUCUGUCUUGACGCUUUGAUGUCUUCCUUGGUCUACCAGUAUGCUUGCCUUUAACCACCUUCCCAUGUUGUUUGUACUUUUUUUUUAGACACAGCUGACUGAACAA